GAUCUCUCAGGGGCAAGCAUGUUUCUCUUGGAUAAGAGUGGGGUGAAAGGCACUAUCGAAGUCUGAAUGCUGGUUGCAGAAGAUAAUUUGAAGAAUGGGAACAUUAAGCCAUACUCAUUCAACCUACUCUUUAAGAGUUUGACAGGAGGGCCUAUACCUGCAUAUGCUCCCACCUCCAUCCCAAGGGGAAAAAGAUGUCAAUGAUGGAGAAAUGCAAGAUUUGAUUGGACAGGUGACUUGCUCCAGAUCAAGGCCAAGCUCAC
rnacentral:lncRNA from 1 species